rnacentral:lncRNA from 1 species
AUUUGCCCCCCAAAAAUAUUUUAGUUGUAGAUUAACAGCUCAGCCUUCUAAUGACUUAAGAAACAAUCAAGGAGAAUUUAAUACACUCUGUGCCAGUACAAUUAAAUGCACACAAAGAAAAAAACUAAAGGCCUCCAGCCAAACAUUGCUAGAAUGUGGGCCCUGUACUUAUAAGGCCAGUCAGUCCUCAUAGGGAAAGGAAUAUAUAGUUCCCUGUCAUGGGGCCAUAGAGCCAGGAAACUUGGGUCUAAAUUCUGGCUGUGACCUACAGCAAGUCACUCCAAACGCCCGGGGCCUCUGAGUCUUCACUGUAUGAACUGGAGUUAGUAUUAUUAGUGCCUGCUGCACAGGACUGUGAUAACUAACACUAAUAUAGGCAAUGUGCUCCAACCAGAGUCAAGAUCCAACGCUGAAGUUCCAAAGCUUUAAAUUGACAUACCUUGGAAGGAUCAUGGUAUUAAAGACCUGAAGAUUCUGAAGGAGGCAGUGAAGUUGGGAACCCACUCAUAGCACGUAGCAGGACUGCUGUAGGGAAGACCUGACAGUUCCUCUGCAAGGAAUGACCAUUUGUCACACUGGCAUGGGAAAACAACCAGACCUUCAGCACCUUCUUGCCUACUUAUGUGCAGCCUAGAAGAUGGUACCAAGCUGUUCUUUCUCUUUUGCAUUCAGAGGUGCUGCAUAAAUCACAUAAGUCUGCCUGUCAGGACUCAUGUUGUAUUUCCACAGAGAUGGAAAGUUGCUUUCAGUCCCUUCCCACAAGAACAGAGAAGUGCAUACUUCUGUCCAUGACACCUGCCCAUGGUCUCCAGUGAUGCCACAGCCUUGAAGAAAAAGACUCACAAGA